CCUACGGGGGGCAGCAGUGAGGAAUAUUGGUCAAUGGCCGGAAGGCUGAACCAGCCAUGCCGCGUGAAGGUCAGUGCCCUAUGGGCGUUAAACUUCUUUUGUGCGGGAGCAAUAAUGGUCACGUGUGGCCAGACGAGAGUACCGUACGAAUAAGCAUCGGCUAACUCCGUGCCAGCAGCCGCGGGAAUACGGGGGAUGCAAGCGUUAUCCGGAUUUAUUGGGUUUAAAGGGUGCGUAGGCUGUGAGGUAAGUCAGCGGUGAAAUGCCCCCGCUCAACGGGGUGAAGUGCCAUUGAUACUGCCUGGCUGGAAUGCGGAUGCGGUGGGAGGAAUGUGUGGUGUAGCGGUGAAAUGCAUAGAUAUCACACAGAACACCGAUUGCGAAGGCAUCUCACGAAUCCGCGAUUGACGCUGAUGCACGAAAGCGUGGGUAUCAAACAGGAUUAGAUACCCCGGUAGUC
rnacentral:rRNA from 1 species